UUAAAAUGUUGUGAUAUAAAGUGGAAAUAUUUGAUUUCUCAGAAUCUCAGUUACAGAGCUGAGGGCAGCUUUGGAAUCGUCGAAUCCUCGUGUUGCUUAGAUGAGAAAGCAGGCGAUGUGACUUGCUGCGAAGCCCACAGAAGGCAGCCCAGGUUCUCGAAUUGGCAGUCCCAACGUCCAGGCUGUGGCUUUUCUCUACUUUUUCUUGCACUGACUUCUUAAAGACACUCAGAGGCCACGAUAACCAGUCAUAAGAAACAAAAGGGGAAAAAAUUCCUUUUCCCCAGUGAGAUACAAUGAAUAAGAAAAAUCUUAUCUGACGAAGUCAGUGACUUCGUAAUUUCAAUGAGUGAAUUUCAUGUUCCAUGUUUUGUAUUUUCGUUGUCCUUGUACCAUUGGAUUUGGAAUCUACUUAAUGUUAUUUUGGUAGCCAGGAAUUGUGGUGACAUUUUGUGUAGGCCUUCCUAGAUUUUCAUAAUAAUCGGAUUAGAAUAUAAAUAGGCAUACUUGAGACAUGACUGUAAUGAAGCAGAAUGAGACCUAAUAUGAUUCGGAAAGGGCUUGCGGUGGAAGGGAAUGCUCACUCAGUGUUUGUGAGAUGCAGUUCUGUCAAUGACUGAAGGCUGACCUGUGCUUCGUGUUUUUAUACAGACUUGUUUACAGUCCAUGGCUUUUUUUUAGAAGGGAAAAUCUAAAACAUAAUUAAGCUUUGGAAACAACAAAAUUCUUUGGUGCGUCAGGCUCACUGUCUGGUGGAUGUCUCUCUUUUCUCCAGAGUUAUGUACUUCAUACCUCUCCUGCUGGUGAGAUCAGUCAGUCUUCCCUUCUUGGCUCACCUGCAUUUUUAUCUUCCUGUAGGAAAGGAAUUUCUUACAGUAAGUACUCUAAUAUAAAGAAACUAAAGACUUGGAGACGUAGUUGCCUUCUAGCUUAAGAAGUAAGUUCGUGUUGUAGAACUGUGUCUUUUAAAAGGUUCAACAAAUUUAAAGAAUAAGAUUUAUGAACCUUGUCCAACAAUUUGAUAAAUACAUGUUUUUUAAACUUCCAUUGGUGUGGGGUCAGUCAGAGCACCUUCAUUGGAAUGCCAUUGUUUUUUAACCAUGAAUCAGGGGGAAAUUGUAAUAAUUUGUAGAGUGUCAUUAUUAAUGAAUAUACAAGCAACUAAGCAACUGAAAUUUCCAAUUCCUAGAUUCACUGAUCAAAAAAAUUCAAAAACGGUUGAAUUAGAACUUUCCAGCGAGGGUUAAAAAGAGCUAAUCUUGGGCUAAGUCAGAGUAUCCCUGUCCAUUUAAACAAAAGUUUGAAGACCUUUUGCUAAACCAGUCAUGUGAUCUCUCCUGUAAACCUACAUUUCCUUUGGAAACAAAACUGUGUUCUGCAGGCUCUUGGAACUCCUGUGGCUUUGACUGACUGUCCAUUCCUGUCAUACGGGAGGACACAUCUGUGCACCUAAUCUGUGGUUUUCUGUGUUGUUUUCUAUGCGGUCCCCAGUCUUCCUAACUCGGACUGGGGACUGAGGAGAGAGAAAGGUGGCUAGUCCUGCUGGUGUGCCAUACUCCUCCCAACGCUUCUCAGCCCAAGUCGGGGCCCCGUGAUUUCAAUCCUCCUAUACUGUGCUUCGGAGAAGGCAAUGGCACCCCACUCCAGUACUCUUGCCUGGAAAAUCCCGUGGGCGGAGGAGCCUGGUGGGCUGCAGUCCAUGGGGUCGAGAAGAGUCGGACACGACUGAGCGACUUGACUUUCACUAUUCACUUUCAUGCAUUGGAGAAGGAAAUGGCACCCCACUCCAGUGUUCUUGCCUGGAGAAUCCCAGGGACGGGGGAGCCUGGUGGGCUGCUGUCUAUGGGAUCGCACAGAGUCGGACGACUGAAGCGACUUAGCAGCAGCAUACUGUGCGUAGCCUCCAAGUUCAAGAAAUGUUUCUCCACCAUUUCACUUCUGUGUUAACUGAACCCAGGAGUCAGAUUUAUUAUUUUAUCUGCAAAUGUCCGACCUUCUGUUACAUUUUGGGGGACAUUACCUUUCUGCUACUAUCAUCUGUAGUGGAUAUUACUGUACUUCCAAAAACUGGCCGAUAAUUCACAGGUGUGUAUUCCACAUUUUAGUGUGCUUACAGUGGCGAUUCAUAGUGUGUAGUACUGUGUUAUUUGUCAACUUCAGCUCUUCUGUAUUUUGAGGACAUUUAAACAUUCCUUGUCAAGGUGACAAAAGCAGAAUGCAAUUUUGGGGGAAAUCUUUGUGAUUAAUGGUAACAGUUUUGUUUUUAAAGCUAAUAAAGUUAGUUGUUUUUUUUUAAAUCCUGUGAAUUGAGUUUUCUUUGUAGUAUUUUCAAUAAGUAUCACUUACGUUUAGGUAAUAACACAGAAAAGGCAGAAAAGUGAGAUAUUAUGUUUGAUUCUUUAACCUGAUCCCACUGCAGGUUAGUGCUGUGUUUGUGCCGGAGUUAAAGGUGGUGGUGACUCGCCACUGACUCUGGAAAUAACCACUCUGGUUUAUGUUCUUCGCCA
ensembl:lncRNA